rnacentral:rRNA from 1 species
CCUACGGGUGGCAGCAGUGAGGAAUAUUUGUCAAUGGACGAGAGUCUGAACCAGCCAAGUAGCGUGAAGGAUGACUGCCCUAUGGGUUGUAAACUUCUUUUAUAUGGGAAUAAAACGUUCCACGUGUGGGAUUUUGUAUGUACCAUAUGAAUAAGGAUCGGCGAACUCCGUGCCAGCAGCCGCGGUAAUACGGAGGAUCCGAGCGUUAGCCGGCUUUAUUGGGUUUAAAGGGAGCGUAGGUGGAUUGUUAAGUCAGUUGUGAAAGUUUGCGGCUCAACCGUAAAAUUGCAGUUGAAACUGGCAGUCUUGAGUACAGUAGAGGUGGGCGGAAUUCGUGGUGUAGCGGUGAAAUGCUUAGAUAUCACGAAGAACUCCGAUUGCGAAGGCAGUUCACUGGACUGCAACUGACACUGAGGCUCGAAAGUGUGGGUAUCAAACAGGAUUAGAUACCCGAGUAGUC